rnacentral:rRNA from 1 species
UGAGGAAUAUUGGUCAAUGGGCGAGAGCCUGAACCAGCCAAGUAGCGUGCAGGAUGACGGCCCUAUGGGUUGUAAACUGCUUUUAUGUGGGGAUAAAGUGCGUGACGUGUCAUGCAUUGCAGGUACCACAUGAAUAAGGACCGGCUAAUUCCGUGCCAGCAGCCGCGGUAAUACGGAAGGUCCGGGCGUUAUCCGGAUUUAUUGGGUUUAAAGGGAGCGUAGGCUGUCUAUUAAGCGUGUUGUGAAAUAUACCGGCUCAACCGGUGGCUUGCAGCGCGAACUGGUCGACUUGAGUAUGCAGGAAGUAGGCGGAAUUCAUGGUGUAGCGGUGAAAUGCUUAGAUAUCAUGACGAACUCCGAUUGCGCAGGCAGCUUACUGUAGCAUAACUGACGCUGAGGCUCGAAAGUGCGGGUAUCAAACAGG